AUACUUACCUGGCAGGGGAGAUACCAUGAUCAGGAGGAUGGUUUUCCCAGGGUGAAGCUCACCCAUUGCACUUUGGGUGUGCUGACCCCUGCGAUCUCCCCUGUGUGAGAAACUCAGCUGCAUAGUUUGUGGUGGUGAGGGACUGCGUCUGCCCUCUCCCCAG